UACGUAGGGUGCAAGCGUUAAUCGGAAUUACUGGGCGUAAAGCGUGUGCAGGCGGCGAUGUAAGUCCGAUGUGAAAUCCCCGGGCUCAACCUGGGAACUGCAUUUGUGACUGCAUCGCUGGAGUGCGGCAGAGGGGGAUGGAAUUCCGCGUGUAGCAGUGAAAUGCGUAGAUAUGCGGAGGAACACCGAUGGCGAAGGCAAUCCCCUGGGCCUGCACUGACGCUCAUGCACGAAAGCGUGGGGAGCAAACAGG
rnacentral:rRNA from 1 species